UACGUAGGGGGCAAGCGUUGUCCGGAUUUAUUGGGCGUAAAGAGCGUGUAGGCGGCCUGACAGGUCUGCUGUGAAAACUCGAGGCUCAACCUCGAGAUGUCGGCGGAAACCGUCUGGCUAGAGUCCGGAAGAGGAGAGUGGAAUUCCUGGUGUAGCGGUGAAAUGCGCAGAUAUCAGGAAGAACACCGGUGGCGAAGGCGCCACUCUGGGCCGGUACUGACGCUGAGGAGCGAAAGCGUGGGUAGCAAACAGG
rnacentral:rRNA from 1 species